rnacentral:piRNA from 1 species
UGCUCUCCUGGGAUGAGGCCUUGAAGC